AGCAUCCAGUGCUGAACCAGUGAACAUUACUUCUUUAUCUCCACAGAAUGAAGCCGCUAGUCCUAGUGCUGCCAGCUUUUCUCAUCCAAGGCAAAUUAAAAAUUCAGUCUAUGAUCCAAUAUAUGAGGGGCUUGGGCUGCCAAUUGAUCCCCAUUUGAGGAUGUUUGCUAGCCGUAACUUGAUGGGAUGACAUGUCGGG